CACCUAGGCACCUCGUAGGUGGAACAGAUUCCGAUCCCAAUUGCUUCAGUUACAUAAUAAUAUUAUUACAUGAGAUCUCUGCUGCUUUAUAUAUUUUACCAAAGAAUGUUUGAAAAUGUGAUGCUUUACAGUCAACACAAACAGGAUUCCCCCAUGCAUCCACUUCUCUUAGAAAUACAAAAUGGUAUAACCCAUCACAAGAAGAUCAUACAUUCCACUCCAAAUCAAGAUAAUCAUUUCAAUCAU